AUACGUAGGGUGCGAGCGUUGUCCGGAAUUACUGGGCGCAAAGAGCUCGUAGGUGGUUUGUCGCGUCGUCUGUGAAAUUCCGGGGCUUAACUCCGGGCGUGCAGGCGAUACGGGCAUAACUUGAGUACUGUAGGGGAGACUGGAAUUCCUGGUGUAGCGGUGAAAUGCGCAGAUAUCAGGAGGAACACCGGUGGCGAAGGCGGGUCUCGGGGCAGUAACUGACGCUGGGGAGCGAAAGCAUGGGUAGCGAACAGGAUUAGAUACCCUGGGAGUCCAUGCCGUAAACGGUGGGCGCUAGGUGUAGGGGUCUUCCACGACUUCUGUGCCGUAGCUAACGCAUUAAGCGCCCCGCCUGGGGAGUACGGCCGCAAGGCUAAAACUCAAAUGAAUUGACGGGG
rnacentral:rRNA from 1 species